rnacentral:rRNA from 1 species
UACGGGGGGGGCAAGCGUUGUUCGGAAUUACUGGGCGUAAAGGGCUCGUAGGCGGCCAACUAAGUCAGACGUGAAAUCCCUCGGCUUAACCGGGGAACUGCGUCUGAUACUGGAUGGCUAGAGUUUGGGAGAGGGAUGCGGAAUUCCAGGUGUAGCGGUGAAAUGCGUAGAUAUCGUAAGGAAGACCAGUGGCGAAGGCGGGUCUCUGGACAGUUCCUGACGCUGAGGCACGAAGGUCAGGGGAGCAAACGGG